AACGAACGCUGGCGGCAUGCCUAACACAUGCAAGUCGAACGAAACCUGCGGGUUUAGUGGCGCACGGGUGCGUAACGCGGGGGAACCUGCCCUUAGGUUCGGAAUAACUCCCCGAAAGGGGUGCUAAUACCGGAUAAUGUCUUCGGACCAAAGAUUUAUCGCCGUUGGAUGGGCGCGCGUUGGAUUAGCUAGUUGGUAGGGUAAAAGCCUACCAAGGCGACGAUGCAUAGCUGGUCUGAGAGGAUGAUCAGCGACACUGGGACUGAGACACGGCACAGACUCCUACGGGAGGGAGCAGUGGGGGAUAUAGGACAGUGGGCGGAAGCAUGAUCCAGCAAGGCCGGGAAAGUGAUGAAGGCCUUAGGGUUGUAAAGCUCGUUUACCCGGGAUGAUAAUGACAGUACCGGGAGAAUAAGCACCGGCUAACUCCGUG
rnacentral:rRNA from 1 species